rnacentral:rRNA from 1 species
CCUACGGGAGGCAGCAGUGGGGAAUAUUGCGCAAUGGGCGAAAGCCUGACGCAGCGACGCCGCGUGAGGGAUGAAGGUCUUCGGAUCGGAAACCUCUGUCAGCAGGGAAGAACGGUCACUGUGCUAAUCAGCAGUGAAUUGACGGUACCUGCAAAGGAAGCACCGGCUAACUCCGUGCCAGCAGCCGCGGUAAUACGGAGGGUGCGAGCGUUAAUCGGAAUUACUGGGCGUAAAGCGCUCGUAGGCGGUAUGUCAAGGCAAGGGUGAAAUCCCCGCGCUCAACGUGGGAACUGCCUUUGAAACUGGUCAACUGGAGUGUGUGAGAGGAUAGCGGAAUGCCAGGUGUAGGAGUGAAAUACGUAGAGAUCUGGAGGAACAUCAGUGGCGAAGGCGACUAUCUGGCACAUAACUGACGCUGAGGAGCGAAAGCGUGGGUAGCAAACAGGAUUAGAUACCCCAGUAGUC